GCGGUUAUGAAAUAAUAUGGUAAAAGAUUUGAUCAAGAAAGAAAAAUAAUUCACAAAAUUUAAUGUAGACAAAUAUAAUUUAAUUAAGUAGAUUGUUUUAACAAAAAAUAUAAAGUUUAAUGUGAUAAUAAUAACAAUAAUCGCAACAAUAAAAAAAUUAAUUAUAUUUUUUUUGGUUAAGUAGUUUAUAAUGACUUGACUCAGAAAUUUUAAGAGUGGGGAAAUGAAAAAUCUGUUUCGAACUUUAAACCAUACAAUCAUCUUUCAUAAAAUAUUUUUUUAUGGUUUAAAUUGUGAUCACUUGCGUAGCCAAAUAGUCUUCUAUAAAAUCAUUAAGCCCGUGAGUCUGUCAUAGACCUUUGUCGAUUAACCUGAUCUAUUUUUGCCAUCACCUGUUACUGUUAGUUACUUCUCAUAAUCGUCUUUCUCUAUAAAUUUUGACUCAUAGAUUUUUUCUUUUAUUAUUAUGAGAAAAAUGAAUAUGCGCCGACAUAUUGUUAAAUCAUUUUACACUAUUAACCAAUAACAAUCAUGUAUUCCGCCACAUUACCCCACUUCACUCGAAUUUCCUGAUAUGAUGUAAAAGUUUAAAUUAUUUUUAUUGAAUGUCAGUGUAAAAUUAAUUUACGGUGCAUAUCUUUUAAACUACAUCGCGUGAAUUGAUUGAAUGCACGUGUGAAAAAACAUUACACUAUCGGAAAUGAUUGUGUCGAAACACCGUUACGCCGAGACAUUAAAAAUUAUUAAAAUAAUUGCAAUUAUGUAUGAAGAAACAAUUCCCUCAAUAGUCAUGAUAAUAGUAUGUUCAAUAGUAAUUAUCAUUCAAAACAAACUCUUAUUCUACAAGAAAAAAGAUAAGAAAUGUAAAAACUGCCUCUUGUCUGCGUGCAAACAAAUAUACUUUAGCUAAUGAAUUUGUUUUAACAAAAACUACAAAAUCUAAUGUGAUAAUGGUUGAAUUUACAAUUUAAGAGUGGUAAAGUAGGAAAUCCAGUUCGAACUCUGAUCCCUAUAAUAAUUCCAUAAAAUAUUUUUCUAUGGUUUGAAGUGUGACCUAACUAGCUAAAUAGUAAAUUAGCCCCGAUAUUCUGUUGUAGACCUUUGUCGGUUGGCCUGAUCUAUUUUCACCAUCACUUUUACAGUUCGUUACUUCUCAUUAUCGUCUUUCUCUAUAAAUUUUGACUAAUAUAUUUUUUUAUUAUCACAGAGAAAAAAUGAAUAUGACCCGACAUUGUUAAAUAAUUUUACCCUAUUGAUCAAUAACAAUCAUAUAUUCCGUCACAUUACCCCACUUCACUCGAAUUUCCUGAUAUGAUGUAAGAGUUUAAAUUAUUUUUAUUGAAUGUCAGUGUAAAAUUAAUUUACGGUGCAUAUAUCUUUAAAACUACAUCGCGUGAUUUGAUUGAAUGCACGUGUGAAAAUACUUUACACUAUCGAAAAUGACUGUGACGAAACACCGUUAUGCCG
rnacentral:lncRNA from 1 species